UACGUAGGGUGCAAGCGUUGUCCGGAAUUAUUGGGCGUAAAGAGCUUGUAGGCGGUUUGUCGCGUCUGCUGUGAAAUUUCGGGGCUCAACCCCGAACUUGCAGUGGGUACGGGCAGACUAGAGUGUGGUAGGGGAGACUGGAAUUCCUGGUGUAGCGGUGAAAUGCGCAGAUGUCAGGAGGAACACCGAUGGCGAAGGCAGGUCUCUGGGCCACUACUGACGCUGAGAAGCGAAAGCAUGGGGAGCGAACAGG
rnacentral:rRNA from 1 species